rnacentral:rRNA from 1 species
AACGCGAAGAACCUUACCAGGCCUUGACAUCCACGGAACCCCUCAGAGACGAGGGGGUGCCCUUCGGGGAGCCGUGAGACAGGUGCUGCAUGGCUGUCGUCAGCUCGUGUCGUGAGAUGUUCGGUUAAGUCCGGCAACGAGCGCAACCCUCGCCAUUAGUUGCCAGCAUUUCGGAUGGGCACUCUAGUGGGACUGCCUGUGAAAGCAGGAGGAAGGCGGGGAUGAUGUCUAGUCAGCAUGGUCCUUACGGCCUGGGCGACACACGUGCUACAAUGGCCGGUACAGCGCGUAGCCACCUCGCGAGAGGGAGCGAAUCGCGAAAGCCGGUCCCAGUUCAGAUCGCAGUCUGCAACUCGACUGCGUGAAGUUGGAAUCGCUAGUAAUCGCGGAUCAGCCAUGCCGCGGUGAAUACGUUCCCGGGUCUUNNCACACCGA